rnacentral:rRNA from 1 species
GAUGAACGCUGGCGGCGUGCCUAAUACAUGCAAGUCGAGCGAACAGACGAGGAGCUUGCUCCUCUGACGUUAGCGGCGGACGGGUGAGUAACACGUGGAUAACCUACCUAUAAGACUGGGAUAACUUCGGGAAACCGGAGCUAAUACCGGAUAAUAUAUUGAACCGCAUGGUUCAAUAGUGAAAGACGGUUUUGCUGUCACUUAUAGAUGGAUCCGCGCCGCAUUAGCUAGUUGGUAAGGUAACGGUUUACCAAGGCAACGAUGCGUAGCCGACCUGAGAGGGUGAUCGGCCACACUGGAACUGAGACACGGUCCAGACUCCUACGGGAGGCAGCAGUAGGGAAUCUUCCGCAAAGGGCGAAAGCUUGACGGAGCAACGCCGCGUGAGUGAUGAAGGUCUUCGGAUCGUAAAACUCUGUUAUUAGGGAAGAACAAAUGUGUAAGUAACUAUGCACGUCUUGACGGUACCUAAUCAGAAAGCCACGGCUAACUACGUG